GUUGUGAGUAGCAAGAGCUGGGUAGGAAAUGUCUCUCCUCUCCACACGACUCCUGGAGGUGAGGAAAAUGCUCUCUGAGAAAUGAAGACCCUCUGGCUGCUUUUUAUGAAAUGUGAGAGGGGAAGAGAUCACAGCCAGCUCAAGGGCAGGAGUUGGACCAGGCACCUGAGGCUGAGGGCUCCCACGCCGGGGUGGGAUUUGACUCACCUACCUUUACAUGUCUACGCUAUGGCUGUCUGCAUCAGCACAUCACCCAAGGCUCCCUUUACUGUCAAUGGGAGAAAUGGGUGUGUUUUGGGCAUGAGUCAACUGGCCUAUUUUUGCUUUCUGUCUUAGGGUAAGGUGAAUUGCUCUGGAUUUUCCUCUUCCUUUCUGUUGCUGUAAAGGGACAAUUAGCUCAGACGAACUUGAUGCCGCCAGUGGGUCAGAUGAAUCGCCAUCCCAAGUUAGUUACUGAGCAUUAGCUGCCGAUGUGCCCUCCCCUAGCCUGGGCAAACGUAAGUGUGAAGAGGGAAGAAAUUCAGUGGCUCAGAAACCAAAGGCCAGCUGUGAGGAAAACAAUGAUGCCAUGCUUUCUGCUAUUAAUCUGAUGUUUCUGUUAAAAGAUGCUUCAACUAUUUUGGUGGAAAGAGUUUCACAGUAAAUCGCAAAAACACAAAGGAGAGAGAAGGAAUUUAGUUAAGAGAACACUGUGAAAGGAAGACACGUGCCCCGAAAAGCUGUGCAAUUCCCUUAUGCUGGAUGGUGCUGUAGGCAUCAAAAAAUGAAUGCUGCACAAGGAAAAAUGUCUUCCCUGCCAAGCCUUCCAGCCCAAGAACCUCAGCUUUUGUGAGUCCAGGUGGGGAAAAAUUUCUAAAAAUCAAAUGUUUUAUAUAUUUAUUAUCACCACUGUACACCUGUAGGGCUCUGUGGAACUGCAGUGACCAGAGAGAUGGGAAACAUUUGUCUUUUCUGAGCCUCUUGCAGAUGUCUCA